rnacentral:rRNA from 1 species
AGAUUGAACGCUGGCGGCAUGCCUUACACAUGCAAGUCGAACGGCAGCACGGGAGCAAUCCUGGUGGCGAGUGGCGAACGGGUGAGUAAUACAUCGGAACGUGCCCAAUCGUGGGGGAUAACGCAGCGAAAGCUGUGCUAAUACCGCAUAAGAUCUACGGAUGAAAGCAGGGGAUCGCAAGACCUUGCGCGAAUGGAGCGGCCGAUGGCAGAUUAGGUAGUUGGUGAGGUAAAGGCUCACCAAGCCUUCGAUCUGUAGCUGGUCUGAGAGGACGACCAGCCACACUGGGACUGAGACACGGCCCAGACCUCCUAACGGGGAGCAG